GGGCCGUUAACUCAGUUGGUAGAGUAUAUCACUUUUAAUGAUAGAGUCGAAGGUUCGAGUCCUUCACGGCCCACCA
rnacentral:tRNA from 3 species